ACGGGAGGCAGCAGUGGGGGAUAUUGCACAAUGGGCGAAAGCCUGAUGCAGCAAUGCCGCGUGAGGGAAGAAGGUUUUCGGAUUGUAAACCUCUGUCCCUGAUGACGAAGACAGUGACGGUAAUCAGGGAGGAAGCCACGGCUAACUACGUGCCAGCAGCCGCGGUAAUACGUAGGUGGCAAGCGUUGUCCGGAAUUACUGGGUGUAAAGGGAGCGCAGGCGGGAGAGCAAGUCAGCGGUGAAAACUAUGGGCUUAACCCAUAGACUGCCGUUGAAACUGUUUUUCUUGAGUGAAGUAGAGGCAGGCGGAAUUCCGAGUGUAGCGGUGAAAUGCGUAGAUAUUCGGAGGAACACCAGUGGCGAAGGCGGCCUGCUGGGCUUUUACUGACGCUGAGGCUCGAAAGUGUGGGGAGCAAACAGGAUUAGAUACCCUGGUA
rnacentral:rRNA from 1 species